rnacentral:rRNA from 1 species
GACGAACGCUGGCGGCGUGCUUAACACAUGCAAGUCGAACGGAAAGGCCCUGCUUUUGUGGGGUGCUCGAGUGGCGAACGGGUGAGUAACACGUGAGUAACCUGCCCUUGACUUUGGGAUAAAUUCAGGAAACUGGGGCUAAUACCGGAUAGGAGCUCCUGCUGCAUGGUGGGGGUUGGAAAGUUUCGGCGGUUGGGGAUGGACUCGCGGCUUAUCAGCUUGUUGGUGGGGUAGUGGCUUACCAAGGCUUUGACGGGUCGCCGGCCUGAGAGGGUGACCGGCCUCAUUGGGACUGAGAGACGGCCCAGACUCCUACGGGGGGCAGCAGUGGGGAAUAUUGCACAAUGGGCGGAAGCCUGAUGCAGCAACGCCGCGUGCGGGAUGACGGCCUUCGGGUUGUAAACCGCUUUCGCCUGUGACGAAGCGUGAGUGACGGUAAUGGGUAAAGAAGCACCGGCUAACUACGUG